rnacentral:rRNA from 1 species
UUUGAUCCUGGNUCNNGAUGAACGCUGGCGGCGUGCUUAACACAUGCAAGUCGAACGANCCCGACCUUCGGGUCAUAUGGGUGAGUGGCGAACGGGUGAGUAACACGUGAGAAACCUGCCUCAAAGUUUGGAAUAACUCAGGGAAACUUGAGCUAAUACCANAUGCCCCCNUCGGAUCGAGUGGUCUGAUGAGGAAAGAUUUAUCGCUUUGAGAGGGUCUCGCGGCCUAUCAGCUAGUUGGUGAGGUAACGGCUCACCAAGGCAUUGACGGGUAGCUAGUCUGAGAGGACGAAUAGCCACACUGGGGCUGANACACGGCCCANACUCCUACGGGAGGCAGCANUGGGGAAUCUNGCACAAUGGGCGAAAGCCUGAUGCAGCGACGCCGCGUGGGGGAUGAAGGCCCUAGGGUCGUAAACCCCUUCAGGNNGGGGANGAAAAUGACGGUACCCACAGAAGAAGGUCCGGCCAACUACGUGCCAGCAGCCGCGGUAAUAAGGG